CUUCAGUCCCCUCUCAGUCUCAAGGUUAGGAUGGGAGGUGUGGCGUUAUGUGGAGCCAGCCAUCCUGAUAUCACCCGACGUCCAGUGACUGUGAGCACCGGAUUGCUUCACCCGUCCAGCCGCUCGGUGUUUACCAUCCACACACAAUUCUCGAAACACCAGCACAGGACACGCCCACCCAAAAGACAGUGUUUUUACCAUCCUUCACCAUCUCUCCAGAAUUACCCAGGAUGUGCCAGGCUUCCGCCAGGGGUUUCCCACCUUCAUGCUCCCACUUGGGGCGUUCCCCACAGAGAAAGGCGAAGCUGGGAGCAGAGUUUUGUGUCUGGGUUGUGCAUCUGAGAGAAGCCGAAUCACUCCCUGGGCCUCCCUGUCUGAUGCCGACUGAGUAAGGGAUGGAGCAGCGCCAAGGAAGGUAAGACCUGAGCGCCUCUGACCGCCUCUGCUG